rnacentral:rRNA from 1 species
AUUGAACGCUGGCGGCAGGCCUAACACAUGCAAGUCGAGCGAGCGGCGGACGGGUGAGUAAUGGCUGGGAAACUGCCUGAUGGAGGGGGAUAACUACUGCAAACGGUAGCUAAUCCCGCAUACCAUCAGAUGUGCGCAGAUGUGAUUAGCUAGUGGGGGGGGUAACGGCUCACCUAGGCGACGAUCCCUAGCCGGUCGGAGAGGAUGAGCAGCCACACUGGAACUGAGACACGGUCCAGACUCCGACGGGAGGCAGCAGUGGGGAAUAUUGCACAAUGGGCGCAAGCCUGAUGCAGCCAUGCCGCGUGUGUGAAGAAGGCCUUCGGGUUGUAAAGCACUUUCAGCGGGGAGGCGUUACCCGCAGAAGAAGCACCGGCUAACUCCGUGCCAGCAGCCGCGGUAAUUC